AGGAAAAAUUGACUAGUUUGUUUGGAAGAAAAUACCCCAAAGUCAACAAUUUUUGUUUUAAUAGUGAAAAUGAAUAAAUUGUUUGACUUCUCAGUCAGUAAAGACUUUGUUCGACUCAGCUAGGUUAAAAAGAAAAAUAUAUAUCCUCCCUGCUUCCCUUCCUUAAUCUGUAAAUCAGAUGGAUGCCUCCCUAAGGAGAAGUGGAAGGAAAAUGAUGUACCUUUAGAAUUCAAACACUUUGUGGAACACUUCCUGUCUUACAGUAGAAAACAUCCUAUACAGCAGGAACAAUAUUUACACCUGCAGGCAUUCACAAC